rnacentral:rRNA from 1 species
UACGUAGGGUGCGAGCGUUGUCCGGAAUUACUGGGCGUAAAGAGCUCGUAGGUGGUUUGUCACGUCGUCUGUGAAAUUCCGGGGCUUAACCUCGGGCGUGCAGGCGAUACGGGCAAUACUUGAGUGCUGUAGGGGAGGCUGGAAUUCCUGGUGUAGCGGUGAAAUGCGCAGAUAUCAGUAGGAACACCAAUUGCGAAGGCAGGUCUCUGGGCAGUUACUGACGCUGAGGAGCGAAAGCAUGGGUAGCGAACAGGAUUAGAUA